UGUAAAACAAAAUCUAUUCUCAAAAUCCUAUAAUUCAGAGCUUCUAACAGUUGGUGCCGUUUAUUUUUUUCAACCACGGAGAAGAUAUCUGGGAAGAGUGGACGCAGUGUACUUAUAAAAUAUACGACGGUGGAAAAUAAAAAUUCGAAAUAAGUAAUAGAGCGACAGCGACACGACAAAAUACAAAUAUAUGUAAUUACCAAUGACUAUUAAUAGUGAGCUUUUGCGACGCGACACGACAUUCCCGCCAGAUUUGUCGCAUUAAACAUAGAAACAAGUUACAAAACAUUUUGUUUUUUUUCAAAGCGACAUAACUACAAUAUGGACGAAAAAGAAAAUUUGCAAAAAAUCAUUAAAGAAGAUUUGAUCAACUCCAUCAGAUACCAUCAGCUGAAAACAAUAU